CGACCUGAGCUCAGGCAAGGCUACCCGCUGAACUUAAGCAUAUCAAUAAGCGGAGGAAAAGAAACUAACAAGGAUGCGCUUAGUAACGGCGAGCGAACCGCGCAAAGCCCAACUUGAAAAUCUCCCUUGGAGAAUUGUAGUCUAUAGAAGUACCCUCUGCGACGGGCCGAGCUCAAGUCUCCUGGAAAGGAGCGUCAGA
rnacentral:rRNA from 1 species